AUGAAUUGUAAUCGGAGUUGAUGCUGGCAGCUUGGCUGCAUGUGCUCGCUCCUAACAAUCUUCAUCCAAACACCUGUGCACAUUUAGAGAGGGUCUCCGAGUUUUCCUUGGAGUCCCUUCCUCUCAUUAUACACUUUAUUUUAAUAUUGAACGUGAUUGUGCCGUGAGGCCUUAAUAUUAAUA
rnacentral:misc_RNA from 1 species